GGAUCCGUGGCUCAGCGGUAGAGCGUUCCGUUCACAUCGGAAAGGUCGAUGGUUCGAUUCCAUCCGGAUCCA
rnacentral:tRNA from 2 species